rnacentral:lncRNA from 1 species
UUUUUUUUUUUUUUUUUUUUGGUUUUCUGUUUUUUCCUUAUUGAUUUCUCUGUCUCUCUCUCUCUCCUCUAUAAUCACAAUUCCUCUCUGCUUUUAUUAGUUCGUGGAACUUUUAUUUAUACGUGUGUGUUUGUUUGUGAGGGAAUGAAAACAACUUUGCUUUGAGAGUGGAGAGUGGAGAGGAAAGGAGAGAAAAUAUAGGGUCCCUUUGUUUUGGACUGUGCAUGGACAAUGUGGCCCUUUGAUUACUUUUUUUGAUGUAUAAGGCGGCCAAAAUUUUUCUACGUGAUUCAUGCAGCUCCCACUUUAGGAAUGGAGUUCCUUAUAGCAAGUGUUGCCAUGGCCAAAAUUGUCAUAUUUGCACGUUUUGAGGGUUUUACGUAAUUUUAUUUUAUAUACGAUAUAUUGUACUACGAAGAAGAUGAAAGAUCUCCAAAACUUAAUUCGCCUGAUAAAAUAUUAAUUAGCUGUCUGUGAAAUUAUUUAUUCGGCUCUCAAUCCUUCCUCUUUCUCUUACUUCCUCCUUGUAACACACAUAAUCUUUGUUAAACUAGAAAAAAAAGAAGAAGAAGAAGAAGAAAAGAGCAUGACGUAAACGAAUGAUGAAAGAAGUACGAACUAAUUCACAAGAAUAUGUCUAUUGAGAUGUCAAUAUUUGUGUCGGUAUAAUGAGUAUAAUUAUGACCAAUAAAACGAAGCGAGGUGUGUAAAUAAAGAAAGCUAACUUCAUUGUUCAAUCGCUACUUAAGAUAAAACAGACAGCAAAUUAUGGUGGUGGCAGGUGGAUGAGAUGUAAUACUCCCAAAAUUGAAGAUUGAAAAUCGUAGUUUUGACUCAUUCACUAAAAUUAGAUGCAUUGAAAGCAAAUUGCUGCUUUAAUUCAUGCUUAAAUGGAACUUGGUUGUAUUAUUAUGAACCCCACAAUGCUUCCAAUUUGCAAAAGCUUGGGUUAGAUGCUUCUAUCAACAUCAUCGUUAUUCAAUUUGGACUAAUCAUCAUCAUGCAACAUCAAUAUGAGAUUUAUGGUAAUGUAUAUAUAUAUAGACAAUUGCAUGUGGAGAUGGAAGAUUACCAUGGACGUUUAUUAAUUACAUCUCCUCUUCAAUCUCCCAUCAUUAUUCAAUUUGGACUAAUCAUCAGCAUGCAACAUCAAUUUAGGAUGUGAAUGUGUCCUCAAUUUCUCAUGUGAGACUGAUUUUGGAAAUUUUAGGGAUCAAUCUUUUGUACAUGGACAAUAUAUAUACCUUCGCCAUUAAAUGCAUGACAAUUCAUAUAAAUUUAAAUUUGAAAUGAAAAACUUUGUUCAUAUGUCAUACAUCUAACGUUGAUAAUAUAUAAUGUCAGUAUAUAUAAAAUUUAGUCAAACUUUAGAGCAUACAAGGCUAUCUUCAAACUUUAAGGAUUAAUUUUUUAUACACUGACAAUAUAUACACCAUCACCAUUAGUUACAUUAUAAUUCAUAUAAAUUUAAAUUUGAAAUAUAAAUUUUGCUCAUGUAUCAUACAUUUAACGGUGACAAUGUAUUAAACACUGUUAAUGUAUAUAAAAUUUCCUCAAACUUUAGAGCAUACAAAGCUAUUUCAAUUUUUUUUUUUUUGGUUUUGUUGUGGGGGAAAAGAAAUGGCAUAUAGGGAUUUUAACUAAGAAUGGCACGAACUGGAAAGAUGGAAAAUUUUGGCAUGUGAACUGUAAAAGGGCAUUUAAAGAAAUUGGACGACCAAUUUAUAUUUAACAGUAAACUUGAGGAAAUUUAUAUUCAUUCCAGGGCGAAAUGCGUCCGAGAAUAAAGGCGGCUUCUUCAAAUUUAACGCCUCUUCCCGAUUUUGGUUCGUCUCUCAGGUCUCCAUAUACUGAACAGAUAACGAGAAAUGGAUUACGUGGAGCCAUUUAAUCUUUAGCUUCCUGAUAAGUAUUUGAUCUUGAUAAUGAUAACAUGAUAGGCUUUCAAAAGACUGCAUAGGGCCUGUUUGGCACCCUAGUUUUUUAUCAAGUUUUUUAGCUACUAGUUUUUUAACAACUUUUGCUACAGGAACCUUAAAAAACUUUUCAAAGUUUUUUACCUACACACUUCAAAAAUCUAUACACAAAAAAUUUCUCAAAAACUUUUCUUCCUCCCUCACCCAACCCACCACACCAGACACCGCCUCCACCACCUCUCCCGGCGCCGGUCACCUAUUUCGGCGCCGCCGGUAACCUCAAAAAUUUUUUUUUGAAUUUUUGAGUCCCUCACCCUAAAAAAUUUAUUAUAUAUAUAUAUUUAUAAUAUUACAUAUUUAUAUAUUUAUUUAAACAUAUUAUAAAUAUUUUAUUUUAUUUAAAAUAUAUUUUUAUAUAUUUAUAUAAAUAUUAUAUACCAUAUAAAUUAAUAUUAAUAUAAAUAUGUAAUUAUACAUUUAUAUAAAUAUUAUAUACUUAAUAAAUAUAAUACAUAUUAUAUAUAUUACACAUUUAUGUAUAUAUAUUUAUGUAUAUUUAUAUACAAUUAUAUUAUGUAUUAUAUAUAACAUAAUACAUUUAUACAUAAUAUUAACACAAUAUUAAUUAUACAUUUAUACAUAAUACUAAUACAUUUAUACAUUUAUAUUAAUUAUAUUAAUACAUUUAUACAUAAUAUUAUAUAUUUAUAUAUUUAUAAUAUAAUAAUUUAUAUAUUUAUAUAAUAUUCAUUUAUAAUAAUAUACAAUUAUUACAUUUGUAAAUAUAUUUAUAUUAUGUAUUAUAUAUAAUAUAAUACAUUUAUAUAUUUUUAUAUAACUAUAUAAAUAUAUUUAUUUAUAAAUGUAUUAUAAAUGCAUAAAUAUAUAUAAAUAUUUAAACAAUAAAAAUUAUAAAUUAUAAACAAUAUUAAUUAUACAUUUUUACAUAAUAUUAAUACAUUUAUACAUUUAUAUUAAUUAUAUUAAUACAGUUAUACAUAAUCAUCAUAUAUAUUUAUAAUUUAUAAUUUAUACAUUUAUAUAAUAUUCAUUUAUAAUAUAUACAUUUAUAUUAAUUAUACAUUUAUAAAUAUAUGUAUAUUAUGUAUUAUAUAUAAUAUAAUACAUUUAUAUAUUUAUUUAUAAAUAUAUAAAUAUAUUUAUUUAUAAAUAUAUAAAUAUAUAAAUAUAUUUAUUUAUAAAUAUUUAUAAAUGUAUUAUAAAUGCAUAUAAAUAUUUAAACAAUAAAAAUUAUAAAUUAUAAACAAUAUUAAUUAUACAUUUAUACAUUUAUAUUAAUUAUAUUAAUACAUUUAUACAUAAUCAUCAUAUACAUUUAUAAAUUAUAAUUUAUACAUUUAUAUAAUAUUCAUUUAUAAUUUAUACAUUUAUAUUAAUUAUACAUUUAUGCAUUUAUAAAUAUAUGUAUAUUACAUAUUAUAUAUAAUAUAAUACAUUUAUAUAUUUUUAUAUAAAUAUAUUUAUUUCUAAAUAUUUAUAAAUGUAUUAUAAAUGCAUAAAUGUUUAAAAAUAUAAAAAUAUAAAAAUUAUAAAUUAAAAAAUACUCAAAAAUAUGUUUUAAAAAUACCUCUAAAAAUAAUCCAAAAAACGUCUACAGUAACAUUUGAAAAACUUCUACAAAAAAGUUUUUCACCUUACAAAAACUUCUACAAAAUUUUUUCAAAAACUUCUACAGUGUACUACAGUAAAGUUUUAGACAAACUCCAAAAAAACUCAGGUUCCAAACAGGCAUGUUUGGCACUUGAGUUUUUUGCCAAGUUUAUUUGCUACAAGUUUUUUAAAAACUUUAGCUACAGUAAUCUCAAAAAAUUUAUCAAACUUUUUAAACUAUACACUUUAAAAUAUUCGAAAAAAAACACGCUUCAAAAUUUUUUUUAAAAACUUCUACAGUAAGUUAUAGUAAAGUUUUAGACAAACACUCAAAAAACUCACUUGCCAAACGGAGCCUUAAACAUGAUACCUCAGAAAGACCUUUUUCUUUUUUUCAAAGAAACACAAGAACCAAAUCUUUUUCUUUGUUCUGUUGAACAAACCAAUCUAGGCUAUCAUCCUAUGGGCUAAUUAAUAAUUUCUCGAGUCACUCCAUUCAGAAUCUGAAUCUUCUAUAGUUGUAUGUUUUUAACAAUUCAGAUCGACUCAAGCAUGUUUGAUAAUCAAAUUCAGCACUUAAAUUUAAUGAAUUCAGAUUUUAAUAUAAUGUAACGCAUUUGAUAAUAAAAAAAUAAAAUAUCUUAAUUAAUUAAGUGACAUUUAAUUUCUAGACAAAACUUACUCCAAACAAUAAGUGAUAGUAUAUUCACUUAUCAUUUACUACAAAAUAUGAUCAAAAAUUAAGAUUUUAAUACGUAAUAACUCAGUAACUUAAUAGAUUCAUAUUUUAUAUUUUAAAUUUCAUUUUUAUCACAUGCACCCUCAAUUUGAGACAUGGGAUCAGUCGACCUCGGACUGAUUUUGACUGUUGAUUUAAAUUUUGUUAGAAAUUGAAAUCAACCACAGAGAACCGGCAUCACUCACUUUACAUUUCUGUGCAUUGGGCUUGACUUCAUAAAUAAAAUUCUGUCAUGAUAAUUCUCAAGAUUCAGAAACUUAACUCUUUCUUAGCAUAGAGGACUUUCAGAAUUUUUCUUGAGCACAUGAUAUUAGAAUUCUUUCUUCUUUUUUUUUUUUUUAAUCUUUAGUAGUUCAUACAUAUUCACAUUGGUAUUCAAUAAUAAACUUGCUUUGACCCGGAAAAAAAAAAAGCAAAAAAAAAAAAAGGACAAGGCAUUUUCCUUUCUGCAAACCAGAUGAACUGAAAUGAAACUUUCUUAUAACUGAAAUAGAAGCUCAAGUAUCUGAGCAACUUCCAUGGAGUGAACACUUCAUCCUAUUGUGAAAACCUCAAAACAUUUUUAAGACAUUCCAUGUAGAACUUGUCACACAAGGUCACAAAGUUCUGCAUGGAAUUAAGUUCCAGAAAUGGCCUAAGUACUGUUUAGCAAGACAACGUUCAGUCCUAACACAGACAAAACUGGGCAUCACAGCUGUUUAGUAAGAUUUGUCAUAAACUGAACCAGCCUUGAAAGUUUCAGGGUUUCUAGUACAGAUGCAAAAAGAUCUACUGAUGUGACACCAUCAAAACCUUAUAAUCAAAGUACCAAAAACACCACUCCUGUGCUUAUGUCAUUUGUCCAACCAAGAGAUACGGUUUUUUUCUGCAUAUGGUUUUUUCUGCACGACGAAACCUUACUCAUUUUUGGCCAAUUAGUCCAUGUGGUUGAAUGAUGGCACUAUCCGAAAUGAUGGGAGGGAGGAAAUGUUCAACUUAGGCAUGAUGAGAUCCAAUGGAUGUCUCCCAUAAUGGCUUUAUGAAGUCAGUCUACUUCUUCAUGGCUUCAACAGAAACUGGAAAAUGUUUAUGGUAUCUGGUGUCCAGAGCAAGUGAACAAUAAUGCAUGUACAUUCAUGAUGCACCAACUCUUGGGACCAUGGCAGAGAUUAAUCUUCGUCUUGCAUUAUUUGGAACUCAUACUGAGAAAAGCGAAGCAAAUUUUUGUGGGCAUUUGACAAACGAAAAUUCUCAGUAGAUGGACUAAAAGAAAACAACAAAACAAAGGAAACAGAUGUAAACAAUUCAGAUUACAUCAUGGAAAUAGCUUUGUUCCCAUUCAAAAGGCUCAUGCUCUUAUAGAAUCUUAAAUAAGCUUUGGUCCCAUUCGAAAAGCUCAUGCUCUAAUAGAAUCUUACCUGCAGGUUGCCCUGCUUGAUAUGUUGAAGUGAUGAUUAGUCCUUAUUUCAGCAUCUCACCUUGAAAUCAUGUCAAGAAUAGACUGCUCGGUUUAGGAAAACGUAUCACCAUUUCCAUCCUCAAUAUUCUUUAAUCUUUAAUCAUUAAAUUGUACUGACUAAGCCUUGAAAAUGGUUCAGGCGGGAUUGAACUUUUUAGAAUCUACUUAUCUCAUUAUUGUAGGCUAUCCUGGAAACACCAGCUUGUGGAGUUCUGAACCAUUUGGUCCGCAUUACAUUUUAUUCAUCAGCCAAUUCUUGAGACAAUUAAGCUCCAAGAAUAGAGAUAAUGUACACCAGACAAAAGCUUAGAAGCUUGGGCAAUUCACAAGGACUUAGAUGAACACAUGUUAUUUUAGGUUGGUAAAGAUAUACUGGUUUUUCUCAUAAAAGUCGGGUACUCACAAGGCUACAACUACAACCAUAAAAAUAUACAACUAUCCUUGAGCAAAAAGAGCAAAACUAAUAGUACCUUUAUAUCUUAAAGAAAUGGUACUUAGAUUCAGCAUAGCCUUCAGCAUCCCAUAAAAAUGACCCGAAUGCAACUGCCUCCAGUACCAGCAUUGUCAAUCCAGAG